CAGGCUGUGUUACCCCAUGCAGUUCCCUAUCUGCGCACCAGAGAGGCCUUUGGGCAGAAAAUCGGCCAUUUCCAGAACAGCGGAUACAGCUACAGUGAAAAUGAACCCAAAGGCAGCUCGUCUCAGCAUGCAGGUCAGCUCCACAGGAUAGCCAAUGAAAAGAAAGGCGCAGAGGAAUGAUAACAUAAUGGACAUGAGGAGGAUGAAGCUGAGAUUCCGAUCAUUUGCUCUGACUAUGGGGGAUCUCCGAAAUUUGACAAAGACAAAUAGCACCGCAGCAGUGGUCACAAGAAAGAUGGAGGCAAUACUGCAUAAUGUGUCUCCUAACAUGCUGCCAUAAGAAAGAAAGUCUAUGUUCCUUUCGAUGCAUUUAUCUUUAUUGAGAUUUGACCACUUAUCUUCUGGACAGCUCCAGCAGUAUUCCAUAUCUUUGAGGAAGACAAAAAUGGGUUCCAGUUUUAAAUAGUCGAGUACUAUAGUUACAUUUAAUGAAUAUUAAAAAUAUUUACUAGUAGAAA